rnacentral:rRNA from 1 species
AUUGAACGCUGGCGGCAUGCUUUACACAUGCAAGUCGAACGGUAACAGGUUAAGCUGACGAGUGGCGAACGGGUGAGUAAUGCAUCGGAACGUGCCCGGUCGUGGGGGAUAACGCAGCGAAAGCUGCGCUAAUACCGCAUACGAUCUGAGGAUGAAAGCGGGGGACCGUAAGGCCUCGCGCGAUCGGAGCGGCCGAUGUCAGAUUAGGUAGUUGGUGGGGUAAAGGCUCACCAAGCCGACGAUCUGUAGCUGGUCUGAGAGGACGACCAGCCACACUGGGACUGAGACACGGCCCAGACUCCUACGGGAGGCAGCAGUGGGGAAUUUUGGACAAUGGGCGCAAGCCUGAUCAGCAAUGCCGCGUGCAGGAAGAAGGCCUUCGGGUUGUAAACUGCUUUUGUACGGAGCGAAAAGGCUCUCUAAUACAGGGGGCUCAUGACGGUACCGUAAGAAUAAGCACCGGCUAACUACGUGCCAGCAGCCGCGGUAA